rnacentral:lncRNA from 1 species
AAAUUAGGUCUUUGCGCAAAUAUUUUUAGAAAAAGAGUUGCCAUGUAUUGUUUAUUUGCUUAGCCCCGACUGAUUGGUAAUUGUUCCUCGUCAGCUGGAACAUAUUUUGAAACACCCUCAUCAUAGGUCACAUCUCCAUUCAUGACAAAGGAUUAUGAAUCUGAUGAUGAUCCACCAUGAAAUCCCAGCUAACUGCUGGGGGGCAACCAUAUAACAGCUGAGCAGUUCAAUGAUGAACGAGUGGGGAGUAAAUGAAACCCAACUUCUAGUAUAUAUAACGUUAGGUAAAACCCUAGCCUCCCUCCACUCCACCAUCUCUGGGCCUAUAAAUUUCACUAAGAGGAUAGGACCCCUUCGAAAGGCUGAAGUCAUAACAGUGGUGUUUCUGUAGCAUCCCCAACAGGGGAGCAAUCGUCGGGCCUCCUUUGUGGUGGUACACUUGAAGGCACCCCCCCAGGAAUACCUCCCUUUCCUUCCUUGGAGGCUUUCUCAGCCUCUUCUCCACUGCUUACAAAGUUUCGGCCUCCAUCCGGAAGUUGUUUUUGGUCAUGAUUAACGAGAAAAUAAAGAAAACAAGAGGAAAGAACUUAGAAAAGGUGAAACCUUACCCUGAAAAACCAUGGGCGCGAAGUAAAAAAAAAAAACGAAGAUGAAGAAAUAUCGAGGAUGAAAAUGAGAAGAAAUGAGAGAAAAGAACCCAAAAAAAUGGUUGAAC